UACUAGGUUUGGAAGGUUUUGAUUAAAAAA
rnacentral:piRNA from 1 species